GUCCACUCUGCCUGUCUUUCUCAGGAAGAACUCCCCAGAGACCCUCAGAAUGUGCUGUAUAUGCCCAUCCUGCCUGAGAGAUGUGAGCCUCUCAAGUAGCCAGGCGUGAGCCACCAGCGCCUUACCCUAUGGAAUAUUGCCUGUGACCCUCACCAGCUGGAGCUGCGCGCUCUUUCCUCUUCUCCCCAGCCCCAGGCAUCAUGACAGUCGUUUUCUGGGCAAGGCCCUCACCAACAGUUAGCCACAGUCUGGGAGCCUCAGCAAGCCUUGGCAGACUCCCAUGGUUUGCCACCACCCUCUGCGCCCUGCCUGUCUACUAACAUGGG
rnacentral:lncRNA from 1 species